GACGAACGCUGGCGGCGUGCCUAACACAUGCAAGUCGAGCGGGGACAUACGGUAGCUUGCUACUGGAUGUUCUAGCGGCGGACGGGUGAGUAACGCGUGAGUAAUCUGUCCUUGACGGCGGAAUAACACUGUGAAAACAGUGCUAAUACCGCAUAAGACCACGAGAUUGCAUAAUCUUGAGGUAAAAGGGGAAACCCGGUUGAGGGUGAGCUCGCGUCCCAUUAGAUAGUUGGCGGUGUAACGGACCACCAAGUCUGCGAUGGGUAGCCGACCUGAGAGGGUGAUCGGCCACACUGGGACUGAGACACGGCCCAGACUCCUACGGGAGGCAGCAGUGGGGAAUAUUGGGCAAUGGGCGAAAGCCUGACCCAGCAACGCCGCGUGAGGGAAGAAGGUUCUCGGAUUGUAAACCUCUGUCCCAUGGGAAGAAAAAAAUGACGGUACCAUGGGAGGAAGCCCCGGCUAACUACGUGCCAGCAGCCGCGGUAAAAC
rnacentral:rRNA from 1 species